rnacentral:misc_RNA from 1 species
GCAAAUCCGUGUGAUUAAGUUGUGGUUAGACUGUUUUGGAUCCGCUUUGUGUCUGAAGGUCAAUCUAAACAAAUUGUAAAUCUUACUUUAUGAAUGUGGGGUUGAAUUAGAGGUAAAAGAUUUGCGGUCUUACAGGUAUGAAGAUUACUGAUGAAAUUGGGACUUACUUUGGGGUAUCCCAUCAUCUAGGGUAGGGUUAACAAACAUGUGUUUAAU